rnacentral:sRNA from 18 species
GUGGGCUUUUCCGCCACCUUAAGCAAGUGGGCAUCGGUUUUGGGGAAAGGAUUCCAAUAGCCGUAAAUGCAAGCACGACCCGGUGCUUGUCUUUCACGGCAAUAUCGCCGGUGGUGUUGCCGUGAAGCGGUUUGAGCAUGGACCGCACAAUGAAACGAUACUUUUGUGUUGUGCUCGUUGUAUCUGGUGUGAUGUUGUCGUCUGGAAAGGGAAGUUGGAAUCUCUCCGACAACGUUAUUUCAGUAACAAUCUAUCACCAGAGCAAGUAAGCCAGAUGGCCGCUUGGCGGCCAUCUUU